GGUCAAGCGGUGAAGGCGCACGGUGGAUGCCUUGGCAUCAAGAGCCGAUGAAGGACGUGGCAAGACUGCGAUAAGCCUCGGUGAGCUGUCCAGCAAGCUUAGCCGGGGAUUUCCGAAUGGGGCAACCCGUUCCGGUAAAACCGGAACAUCCCUAGCUGAACACAUAGGCUAGGGAAGGCAAGCGGGGGAAGUGAAACAUCUCAGUACCCCGAGGAAAAGAAAGAGACAUCGAUUCCCCUAGUAGUGGCGAACGAACGGGGAACAGCCCAAACCCAUCAAGCUUAGUGGCCCUGGGGCCUAUGCUUGGUGGGGGUUGUAAGACAGGUCGGAUUCGGUCCAGGACGAAUCGAGGAGUUACAAACCAAACCCUAGUCAAAGGUCCCUGGAACGGGCCACCACAGAAGGUGAUAGUCCUGUAGACGAAAGGGGUAGGCUCCUGACCUGUUCUUGAGUACCACGGGGCACGAGGAACCCUGUGGGAAUCUGCCCUGACCACAGGGCAAGGCUAAAUACUCUUGAUGACCGAUAGUGGACAAGUACCGUGAGGGAAAGGUGAAAAGCACCCCGGGAGGGGAGUGAAAUAGAACCUGAAACCGUGUGCUUACAAGCAGUCAGAGUCCUUCUACGGAAGGAUGAUGGCGUGCCUAUAGAAGAAUGAUCCGGUGAGUUAAUCCGUGUAGCAUGGUUAAGCAACUGGAGUUGCGGAGCCAAAGCGAAAGCGAGUCUGAAUAGGGCGUUUGUUGCACGGAUUAUACGCGAAGCGGGGUGAGCUAUCCAUGGCCAGAGUGAAGCUCCGAUAAAAUCGGAGUGGAGGCUCGAACCUUUCAGCGUUGCAAAGCUGCUGGAUGAGCUGUGGAUAGAGGUGAAAUGCCAACCGAACUCCGUGAUAGCUCGUUCUCCCCGAAGUGUAUUGACGUACAGCCUCAGGCCAUAGUUAAUGGAGGUAGGGCUCUGGAUGGACUAGGGGGCGAAAGCUUACCAACUCCAACCAAACCUUGAAUGCCAUUAACUGUACCCUGGGAGACGGACCGUGAGGGAUAAGCUUCACUGGUCGAGAGGGAAACAGCCCAGACCAUCAGCUAAGGUCCCAAAGAGCAGGCUAAGUGGUAAAUGAGGUAGGACUGCUCAGACAGCCAGGAGGUUGGCUUAGAAGCAGCCAUCCUUUAAAGAGUGCGUAAUAGCUCACUGGUUGAGUGGUUCUGCGCAAACAACCCAACGGGGCUAAGCCUGCCACCGAAGCUAUGGCUUUCCUUCGUGGGAAGGAAGGGGUAGGGGAGCGUUCUCUUCGCAGCGAAGCCUUUCUGGAAGGAAGGGUGGAGUGAAGAGAAGUGAGAAUGCCGGAAUGAGUAGCGCAAGAUGUGUGGAAAACACAUCCGCCGAAUGCCUGAGGUUUCCUACGAAAGGUUAAUCCGCGUAGGGUUAGUCGGCCCUAAGCUGAGGCCGCGAGGCGUAAGCGAUGGAUAACAGGUCAACAUUCCUGUACCACUCUUAUGGAGACAAAGGGGGGACGCAGGAGGAUAGGCUGAGCGUACCUACUGGACAUGGUGCGUUCUUCACCUUAGGCAAUGCCGGGGCAGGGAAAUCCACUCCGGAUGCUAAGCGGAGGGUGAAGAGAAGCUGAGAGGAGACUCGAGGCGACUCAACUGAAUCCAAACUGCCUAGAAAAGCCUCGUUGUCUUUGAAGUAAGAGUGCCCGUACCACAAACCGACACUGGUAGGCGGGGAUAAAAGUCCCAAGGCGAUCGAGAUAACCCUCUUUAAGGAACUCGGCAAUCUAACCCCGUAACUUCGGGAUAAGGGGGGCCCUUCUCUGAAGGGUGGCACGGAAAUGGCUCGAGUGACUGUUUAACAAAAACACAGGUCUGUGCUAAAGCGUAAGCUGAAGUAUACGGGCCGAUACCUGCCCAGCGCCGGAAGGUUAAGGGGAGAUGUUUUAAAAGCAUUGAACCGAAGCCCCGGUAAGCGGCGGCCGUAACUAUAACGGUCCUAAGGUAGCGAAGUCCCUUGUCGGGUAAGUUCCGACCUGCACGAAUGGUGUAACAACUUGAGCGCUGUCUCAAAGAGGGACUCGGCGAAAUUGAAGUACCCGUGAAGAUGCGGGUUACCCGUGACUGGACAAAAAGACCCCGUGGAGCUUUACUAUAACUUGGCAUUGAGUCUGGGCUUGUCAUGUGUAGGAUAGGUGGGAGGCUGUGAAGCCAGGGCGCUAGCUCUGGCAGAGCCGACGGUGAAAUACCACUCUUGAUGAGUCUAGCCUCUAACCUCAGAUCAAGCUGGGGGACAAUGCCUGGUGGAUAGUUUGACUGGGGCGGUCGCCUCCCAAAAGGUAACGGAGGCGCCCAAAGGUCCCCUCAGGGUGGAUGGAAAUCACCCAUUGAGUGCAUUGGCAUAAGGGGGCUUGACUGCGAGACCUACAAGUCAAGCAGGGACGAAAGUCGGGCAAAGUGAUCCUACGACUCUGUGUGGAAGGGUCGUGGCUUAUCGGACAAAAGCUACCCCGGGGAUAACAGGCUUAUCUUGCCCAAGAGUUCACAUCGACGGCAAGGUUUGGCACCUCGAUGUCGGCUCUUCCCAUCCUGGGGCUGAAGCAGGUCCCAAGGGUCCGGCUGUUCGCCGGUUAAAGGGGAACGCGAGCUGGGUUCAGACCGUCGUGAGACAGGUCGGUCUCUAUCCGUCACGGGCGCAGGAGAUUUGAGGGGGGCUUUCUCUAGUACGAGAGGAUCGAGAAGGACAGACCAAUGGUGUACCAGUUGUCUCGCCAGAGGCACCGCUGGGUAGCUAUGUCUGGUUGUGAUAAGCGCUGAAAGCAUCUAAGUGCGAAGCACGCCUCUAGAUUAGAUCUCCCAUCCUGAUGGGCAACCAUCGGGGGUAAGACCGCAGGUAGACGACCUGCUUGAUAGGCGGCAUGUGUAAGUCCAGUAAUGGAUUUAGCUAAGCCGUACUAAUGGUCGAGGGCUUGACCUG
rnacentral:rRNA from 1 species